UACGAAGGGGGCUAGCGUUGCUCGGAAUCACUGGGCGUAAAGGGUGCGUAGGCGGGUCUUUAAGUCAGGGGUGAAAUCCUGGAGCUCAACUCCAGAACUGCCUUUGAUACUGAAGAUCUUGAGUUCGGGAGAGGUGAGUGGAACUGCGAGUGUAGAGGUGAAAUUCGUAGAUAUUCGCAAGAACACCAGUGGUGAAGGCGGCUCACUGGCCCGAUACUGACGCUGAGGAGCGAAAGCGUGGGGAGCGAACAGG
rnacentral:rRNA from 1 species